GUGAACGCUGGCGGUAGGCCUAACCCAUGCAAGUCGAACGGCAGCACAGUAAGAGCUUGCUCUUACGGGUGGCGAGUGGCGGACGGGUGAGGAAUACAUCGGAAUCUACUUUUUCGUGGGGGAUAACGUAGGGAAACUUACGCUAAUACCGCAUACGACCUACGGGUGAAAGCAGGGGAUCUUCGGACCUUGCGCGAUUGAAUGAGCCGAUGUCGGAUUAGCUAGUUGGCGGGGUAAAGGCCCACCAAGGCGACGAUCCGUAGCUGGUCUGAGAGGAUGAUCAGCCACACUGGAACUGAGACACGGUCCAGACUCCUACGGGAGGCAGCAGUGGGGAAUAUUGGACAAAGGGCGCAAGCCUGAUCCAGCCAUACCGCGUGGGUGAAGAAGGCCUUCGGGUUGUAAAGCCCUUUUGUUGGGAAAGAAAAGCAGCAGGUUAAUACCCCGCUGUUCCGACGGUACCCAAAGAAUAAGCACCGGCUAACUUCGUG
rnacentral:rRNA from 1 species